rnacentral:rRNA from 1 species
ACGCACGCUGGCGGCGCGCCUAACACAUGCAAGUCGAACGAGCGAGAGGAGGUUUACUUUCUCAAGCGAGUGGCGAACGGGUGAGUAACGCGUGAGGAACCUGCCUCAAAGAGGGGGACAACAGUUGGAAACGACUGCUAAUACCGCAUAAGCCCACGACCCGGCAUCGGGUAGAGGGAAAAGGAGCAAUCCGCUUUGAGAUGGCCUCGCGUCCGAUUAGCUAGUUGGUGAGGUAAUGGCCCACCAAGGCGACGAUCGGUAGCCGGACUGAGAGGUUGAACGGCCACAUUGGGACUGAGACACGGCCCAGACUCCUACGGGAGGCAGCAGUGGGGAAUAUUGCACAAUGGGGGAAACCCUGAUGCAGCGACGCCGCGUGGAGGAAGAAGGUCUUCGGAUUGUAAACUCCUGUUGUUGAGGAAGAUAAUGACGGUACUCAACAAGGAAGUGACGGCUAACUACGUG